AAUAGAUACCCAGGUAGUCCUGGCCCUAAACGAUGAAUGCUUGGUGUGGCGGGUAUCGAUCCCUGCCGUGCCGCAGUUAACGCGCUAAGCAUUCCGCCUGGGGAGUACGGUCGCAAGGCUGAAACUCGAAAGGAAGUUGACGGGGGCCCGCACAAGCGGUGGAGCAUGUGGUUCAAUUCGACGCAACGCGAAGAACCUUACCUGGGCUCGAAGUGCAGAUGACCAUCGGCGAAAGUCGACUUCCGCAAGGACAUCUGUAGAGGUGCUGCAUGGCUGUCGUCAGCUCGUGUCGUGAGAUGUUGGGUUAAGUCCCGCAACGAGCGCAACCCUUGUCCUCUGUUGCCAUCAGGUUAAGCUGGGCACUCUGAGGAGACUGCCGGUGACAAACCGGAGGAAGGUGGGAUGACGUCAAGUCAGCAUGGCCUUUAUGUCCAGGGCUACACACGUGCUACAAUGGCCGGUACAAAGCGUCGCAAACUCGCGAGGGUGAGCUAAUCGCAGAAAGCCGGU
rnacentral:rRNA from 1 species